rnacentral:lncRNA from 1 species
GGAAAUGCUGCAGAGACCCAGCCGGAAACAGUGCUGGCCAGCUCACGCCUGACCCACCCUUAUUCUAAGCAUAGGGUCUGCCUCUGAAGAGCUAAAGACUUCCUGAAAUUUAAAAAUUAGUGCUUUUAUUUGCUUGUCCUGCUAAGACCGUAGGCAAAGGCCAUCCUCCUCCCAUUGACAGUUUAGAGUGGGCAGAAACAACCACGGUUACCCUAGAAGUAAAUCCAGAGCUGCGGGACGCUGGAGGACAAAACCAACCUUCCAGGGAAGCCGAGGAGAAGUCAUGCCUUCAAAAGACGGAGUUUUGCUCUGUCACCCAGGCUGGAGUGCAAUGGCCCGAUCUCGCCUCACUGCAACCUCCACCUCCCGAGUUCAAGAGAUUCUCCUGCCUCAGCCUCCCAGGCUGGCACUGUGCCUCACAUCUGCAAUCCCAGCAUUUUGGGAGGCCAAGGCGGGCAGAUCACUUGAGGUCAGGAGUUCGAGACCAGCCUGGGCAACAUGGGGCUGGGAAGUUCAAGAUCCAGGCCUCAGAAGAUUUGGGGUUUGGUGAGGGCCAUCUUCUCACUGUAGCCUUACAUGGUGGAAGAGCCACAACAACUGGAUUCUCUUUUCUGAUUUUUGCUGCAGCUUCUGCUUUGUAAUCAUACGGACAGUUGUGCUUGUCAGAGUAACGGUGAAGUCCACAAAACAAAUUUCCACAUCGGCAGUCAAACCCUGUACAAACGAAGAAGUAGAGUCAUUUGAGAACUUGAGGCAAUUAAAAGAAAAAAAAGCCUUAGUCACUAUAGAAAAGGAA